CGGGGCCCGCACAAGCGGUGGAGCAUGUGGUUUAAUUCGAUGCAACGCGAAGAACCUUACCUGGUCUUGACAUCCACGGAAGUUUUCAGAGAUGAGAAUGUGCCUUCGGGAACCGUGAGACAGGUGCUGCAUGGCUGUCGUCAGCUCGUGUUGUGAAAUGUUGGGUUAAGUCCCGCAACGAGCGCAACCCUUAUCCUUUGUUGCCAGCGGUCCGGCCGGGAACUCAAAGGAGACUGCCAGUGAUAAACUGGAGGAAGGUGGGAUGACGUCAAGUCAUCAUGGCCCUUACGACCAGGGCUACACACGUGCUACAAUGGCGCAUACAAAGAGAAGCGACCUCGCGAGAGCAAGCGGACCUCAUAAAGUGCGUCGUAGUCCGGACUGGAGUCUGCAACUCGACUCCAUGAAGUCGGAAUCGCUAGUAAUCGUGGAUCAGAAUGCCACGGUGAAUACGUUCCCGGGCCUU
rnacentral:rRNA from 1 species